rnacentral:sRNA from 1 species
AAAAGCAAAACAUAAGAAC